GGUAUCAAUCAAAGAGUGUGAGAAGUAAAUCGUGUAUUACCCGUGAAAGCAAGCAGUGGCCCGUAUGUCACGAAAAGAAUUCGGAUUUGAAUGAGCAAAAAACAGGUAGUGGGCAGGAAACAUUUUUGCCAGUGACAUCCUGAUGAAGUAUUUUAUAAAGUGACCAGAUUCUCAAGGUGUGAAAUAGCAUGUCUCUUCAUCUUGAGGACUCUGGAUUCUCAGCUAGAGUUUAACAUAACUGAAGGGUGCUAUCAAUAUAGUGAAGUUACCUGUGCUUAAAUGCGUCUUCACC